rnacentral:lncRNA from 1 species
GUGGUUGUCGGUACGGAUGUUGCGGUGGCUGUUUUUUUGGACGGUGCAACUACUGUUGUCGUAGUCCACAAGCCGAGGAGACCGUGGAAACUGAAGCUGUUGAGGCCAACGUUGUUGAACCUCAGCAGGGGGGUCGUGGUGGCUGUAGAUACGGAUGUUGCGGAUCCUGGCGUUACGGACGGUGCAGCUACUGUUGUCGCAAUCCACAAACCGAGACCGUGGAAACCGAAGCUGUUGAUGCCAACGUUGUUGAACCUCAGCAGGGGGGUCGUGGUGGCUGUAGAUACGGAUGUUGCGGAUCCUGGCGUUAUGGACGGUGCACCUACUGUUGUCGCAGUCCACAAGUCGCAGUCCACAAGCCGAGGAAACCGUGGAAACCGAAGCUGUUGAUGCCAACGUUGUCGAACCUCAGCAGGGGGGUCGUGGUGGCUGUAGAUACGGAUGUUGCGGAUCCUGGCGUUAUGGACGGUGCAGCUACUGUUGUCGCAAUCCACAAACCGAGACCGUGGAAACCGAAGCUGUUGAUGCCAACGUUGUUGAACCUCAGCAGGGGGGUCGUGGUGGCUGUAGAUACGGAUGUUGCGGAUCCUGGCGUUAUGGACGGUGCAGCUACUGUUGUCGCAAUCCACAAACCGAGACCGUGGAAACCGAAGCUGUUGAUGCCAACGUUGUUGAACCUCAGCAGGGGGGUCGUGGUGGCUGUAGAUACGGAUGUUGCGGAUCCUGGCGUUAUGGACGGUGCAGCUACUGUUGCCGAGGUGCUCAAGCGGAGUCUGAAGGGCAGAAAAAGGAAGAAGCUAAGCCAUGAAUGGUGUGUAAAACAAACU